rnacentral:lncRNA from 1 species
ACAGCAAGGCCAUGGCUGCAUCGCUGCGUGUUAGAAGGACGGGGACCUCAAAGCCCUUCCACCUAGGAGGCCAUGGAUCGUGCCCGCAGGCUCCUCCUCACACUCACUCACACUCAAACUUCUAGGACUACUGAACUGCAGACCUACUGGCUGACUCCUAGUCGGCAAGACAGAAGGAAGUCACGAUGUCUCUUUGCACAGCUCUGCUGGGACAGAAGGCAGACAGUAAGGCGCAUGGGCAACAAGGGACUUGGGCAGUAAGGGGCGUUCACACUGAGUCAGGCACAUGCAAGGCCAGCCAGGGUUUUCCCACUGUCCCAAAACCAGAAUCCCCAGUAUGUUUGUAGUAGAAAGAAAGGGACUUAAGAGAUAUUUUUUUUUCUCUCUCUCUUGUCCUACCAUUCUCAUGCAUCCAGAAACUUUGGGAACAGAGAGUCCCAUGUCACCCUUAGUGGUUGAUGUGUCUCAGAAAGACCUUUUGUGACAGAAAUAAAUUAUUUUAAUGUUUAUAUUUAUACAUGCUUUUUUUUUCCAGACAGGGUGUUACUUUGUCGCCCUGGAUGGAGGGCAAUGGCAUGACUUUACCUCACUGCAGCCUGGAUCUCCUGGGCAUAAGCAAUACUCAAGACGCAGCCUCCGAAGUAGUUGGGACUACAGGUGUGUGCCACCAUGCCCAGCUAUUUUAUUUAUUUAUUUACUUAGAGACAGAAUCUCACUACAUUGUCCAGGCUGGUCUCAAUUUCUGGGAUCGAGUGAUCCUCCCACCUUGGCCAAUUUUUAUUCAUACUUUGAUUAAUCACUUCCUUCUCUGGUCUGAGGUUUUCUGCCAUGCUACCAAUGAAUAGAACCACUUCUGUAGACUAAAUAAAUUCACACCUCUUCCUUUUUUAGGUGGUAUUAUUGCACAUUUUAAUCUCUGGACUGGUAACUGAUUUCCCUGAAUAUACCUGUAGGUCAUUCAGACAGUGUAUGGUUCAGAAAUAUCCAUACAUAUGAUGUGGUUUGACUCUGUCCCCACCCAAAUCUCUCCUUGAAUUGUAGUUCCCAUAAUCCCCACAUGUCAUGGAAAGGACCCUGUGGGAGGUAAUGUAAUCAUGGGGUGGUUACCUUCAUGCUGUUCCCCUGAUAGUGAGUAAGUUUUCACAAGAUCUAAUGGUUUUAUAAGGGGCUUUUCCCCUUUUGCUCACUCUUCUCUCUCCUGCUGCCAUGUGAAGAAGGAUGUGUUUGCUUCCACUUCUUCCAUGAUUGUUAAGUUUCCAGAGGCCUCCCCAGCCCUGCAGAACUAUGAGUCAAUUAAACCUCUUUCCUUUAUAAAUUACCCACUCUCAGGUAUGUCCUUAUAGCAGCAUGAGAACGGACUAAUACAACAUUGGUCCUAGGAUUUAAACUUAGUUUAUUGUGACAUGAUGUACAGCAGUGGUGACUGUGCUCAUCAUAUACUCUACUCCCCAAAUAGCAGCCAAAUAACCUGUUCAUAAGACAGCGCUGACAUUAUUUAAAUAAAGCUAUAAGGUAGAGCACUACCUCCACAGAGGCACUAGUAUGUCAGAUGUGGAAGGGCUUUGGGUAUAUUUGUUGUGCUUUUCAUGUCCGGUAUAAAGUGGGUAUUUUAAAGUGGGGGAUGGUUUGGUUAGAAUUGGGUAGGAAUGACAAUGAUUUAGGAUUGGUGGAUGCAACAAGACUUUUUAGGCAAUGGGUUCAAAGAGUUUUGGGAUUGAAAAAUGUCAUUUGACACUUUUUAUUGAGGAGUUGAUGGAUCUUUCAGGCAAUUGCUGGAAAGAACAAUAAAGUUUUUUUGAAACUUUUAUUUUCCUUGGUAAGAGAUUCCUGUAUUAGUAAAAUUAUGAUAAUGAAGACAGUGGAAUAUAAACUCUUGUUAAUGUAGACAGUAAACUAUGUCCAUGACUCCUGUUCUUAUUACUUUUAUAUUACCUAGCAGUUAAUGUGGGGAAUAGUAUAUGGAAGGGAAGGAUAGGAAGGGAGCCCUGAUCAGAAUGUAGCCUUUUAUAAAUAAAUUAGGAUAUAUUGUUGAACUGACAUCUAUAUAUUCUAUCUAGUUGAGCUUCUUUUUUUUUUUCUUUUGAGACGGAGUCUCACUCUAUUAUCCAGACUGGAGUGCAGUGGCAUGAUCUUUGGCUAACUGCAAUAUCUGCCCCCCAGAUUCAAGUGAUUCUCCUGCUUCAGGCUCGCAAGUAGCUGGGAUUAUAGGCACGUGCCAAUACACCCAGCUAAUUUUUGUAUUUUUAGUAGAGACGGAGUUUCACCAUGUGGGCCAGGCUGGUCUCGAACUCCUGACCUCAAGUGAUCCGCCCACCUCGGCCUCCCAAAGUGCUGGGAUUACAGGUGUGAGCCACCGUGCCUGGCCACAGCUGCACUCCUUUUAAGGAAAUACCCUGAGUAGGAAAAAAGAGAUUCCUCAAUCUCUGUCUCCAAAAAGUGGCUUGAGUAGUCAUUGUAGUUCUCAAAGUUUAUUUAAGGAGUGAGGGCACUCAUAAACUAUUAUUUAGUUUAUCUGUUAUCUUUUUUGUUUUUUCUUGGCAAGGACAUUGUCAUUACUAAAUUUUACUUGCAUUUUUCCCUUAUUAACUCCGGUUUUUAGUAUAGUGCACUCAGAAAUGUUCAAAGAAUGAGAGAUAGUGACAUCUGGGUUUAGAUUUUCUGUGAGCAUCGAAUUAGCAAAUGGUCAAAGUCAUGCCAUCAGAUGGCUGGAUGGAUGUGCUUCACAAGGACCUGGAUUUUAAUGAUUCCUGAGUGGACACACUCCAGCUUCAAAGGGCAGGUUUUAACUUCCUCCCAAAUUUGAGCUUCCUCCUGUUAUUCCCAUGGCAGGUGACCCUGGUCCAGCUGGAUGAGUUCAAAGGAUCAUAAUUGGAUUGGGAUGGGAGCAAGUUGUGAAGUAGCCCUUGUGACACUCACAGGAAGCAGCAGAAAGUAUGAGAAACUCUUUAGAGGCAAGAAGACUUGCCUGAUACAUGACGCUAGCAACUCUGAGGGCUGCUAAAGGAGAAGUUGGAGCUGGGACCAACACAGCCCAUCUACCUGUGGGUGGGCUCAAUUUCACCACAUGACAAGACCUUCCCAUCCUCCAAGCACUGGAAUAUGAACAAACUGAGAUUUCCACAGGACUGUGGCUGGGUGGGACAAAGUCUACAGAUUCUGAGCAGCUGGCAGUUUUCAGAGUACCAUAGUAAACACUGUCACCUGAGCUCUUCAGAUUGCUUGUUGGUUGAGGUCAAAUUAUUUACUACCUACCAUGUUAAUUGCAACUCCCCUAUUUGCCUCAUAAAGCGGGAGCACAAAAGGGAAAUGGAGGUCCCUGUGCAUUCACAGGGAGGUCCGCGUGAAUGGAUGCAAUUCAUGACAUUCAGCUAUGCUGCAGCCCAAACAAAGCCUCCUCAUGAUACCAAGAGGACAAGAGGUCACAUGUACUUUCUGUCCCUUUUGCAUGUGAUUUUAUGUCUGUCCAAGUAACACUUCACCUGUGCAAAACAGACAUGGUUAUCUGCUGAUGGAACACACAUUUCCUCUGUAAUUACAUAUUUCGUGGUAGCCUUUGUGGCCCAUAUCAAAGACCACGUUUUUGGCCAAGUGCAGUUGCACACACCUGUAUUCCCAGCAAUUUGGGAGGCCGAGAAGGGUGGAUCACUUGAGGUCAGGAAUUCGAGAUCAGCCUGGCCAACAUUGUGAAACCCCAUCUCUACUAAAAAUACAAAAGUUGGCCAGGUGAGGUAGUGCAGUCCUGUAAUCCCAGCUACUCGGCAGGCUAAGGUGGGAGAAUCGCUUGAACCUGGGAGGCAGAGGUUGCAGUGAGCCAAGACUGGGGUGACAGAGGGAGACUCUGUCUC